rnacentral:rRNA from 1 species
GACGAACGCUGGCGGCGCGCCUAACACAUGCAAGUCGAACGGAGCUGAGAGAAGCUUGCUUUUCUUAGCUUAGUGGCGAACGGGUGAGUAACGCGUGAGUAACCUGCCCUGGAGUGGGGGACAACAGUUGGAAACGACUGCUAAUACCGCAUAAGCCCACGAUCCGGCAUCGGAUUGAGGGAAAAGGAUUUAUUCGCUUCAGGAUGGACUCGCGUCCAAUUAGCUAGUUGGUGAGGUAACGGCCCACCAAGGCGACGAUUGGUAGCCGGACUGAGAGGUUGAACGGCCACAGUGGGACUGAGACACGGCCCAGACUCCUACGGGAGGCAGCAGUGGGGGAUAUUGCACAAUGGGGGAAACCCUGAUGCAGCGACGCCGCGUGGAGGAAGAAGGUUUUCGGAUUGUAAACUCCUGUCGUGAGGGACGAUAAUGACGGUACCUAACAAGAAAGCACCGGCUAACUACGUG